CAAGUUAAAUCUGUAGAGAUGUUAUUAUUUACAAUAAUAUAUUUGGUUGUGCAAUUCAACCUAACUUGA
rnacentral:tRNA from 1 species